AGCGAACGCUGGCGGCAGGCCUAACACAUGCAAGUCGAACGGACCCUUCGGGGUUAGUGGCGGACGGGUGAGUAACACGUGAGAACGUGCCUUUAGGUUCGGAAUAGCUCCUGGAAACGGGUGGUAAUGCCGAAUGUGCCCUUCGGGGGAAAGAUUUAUCGCCUUUAGAGCGGCCCGCGUCUGAUUAGCUAGUUGGUGAGGUAAUGGCUCACCAAGGCGACGAUCAGUAGCUGGUCUGAGAGGAUGACCAGCCACACUGGGACUGAGACACGGCCCAGACUCCUACGGGAGGCAGCAGUGGGGAAUCUUGCGCAAUGGGCGAAAGCCUGACGCAGCCGUGCCGCGUGAAUGAUGAAGGUCUUAGGAUUGUAAAAUUCUUUCACCGGGGACGAUAAUGACGGUACCCGGAGAAGAAGCCCCGGCUAACUUCGUGCCAGCAGCCGCAGUAA
rnacentral:rRNA from 1 species